GACAGCCGCGUCAGGGGGGCUCUUCCGCCUCCUCAGGCACAGCUCCCCCGGGAGAGGCUCCGGCCGCCCCCGCCGUCCGUUCGAGCUUUGCGCCGCGCCUGAGGCGCUCCUGCGCUGAGACCGGCUCCCUUCGGAAGUCGAAACCAGCCCCGUCAGGUAUGAGGCUGGAACGCGGCCACGAGUAAGCCCGAGUAAGGUCAGCAGCUUGAGAGCGGCGGUCGAUGUGGAGGGAUUGCGAGGUGGAGGCGGCGGCAGGAGCUCAAUCGAACACGUCCAGCCGCUUCCCCCUCCUCUGUACGACUAUUCCACCCGCCGCCGGCCCCAAUAUGGCGUCAAUAACAACGCCGCCGAUUCAAAUUCUGCGGCCUCAGGGCGCGUGCGCACAGGGGUGGCUACCCCGCAGGCGCAUUCUGGGAGUUGUCGUUUUUCACUGUGGAAGGGAAUCGGCGUGAAAAGCGAUUAGGGAGGAGUCACGAAAACUACGAUUCCCGUCAUUCAAGGCGCGGCAUUCCGAGUUCCGGGUUGGAAUUUAAAUCCCCUACACGGCUUGAGUGUAAAAGGAGCUAAGCAAAAGGGGAAAAGAGAAAAGCCUGGGAGAGACUGGAAGAGAGGAAAGCCAACUGAUGCAGAAAAUAGGCUUAAAAGACCUUGAAAAUUCAGGACAUAGUUGUCCUGAUACCAUUCCCACAGUGAUUUAACAAAUGGGAAAUAGAAAACUUAGCCAACCCAACAGUUCAAGACAGAUUAAUUUCGAAAGGGGAAAUUUGGAAACAGACAAGCAUGAAAACAUGAAGAUGCAUCUAUAAACCAAGAAAAGGCAAAAUGGCCAGCAAAUUACCAGAAGUUAGGAGAGAAGCAUGGAACAGAUUCCCAGAGUCCACAGAAGGAACCAACGCUGCAGAUACCUUGCUCUCAGAUUUCUAGCCUCCUGAACUGAGAUAAAUACAUUUCUGCUGUUUAA